ensembl:lncRNA novel transcript
AGACUUAGAGGCCGGCCACUGAGGUGGGCCACCUUGGGGGGAAUAAGUUUCCAACGGGGACAGCUUCAGGCCGCAAGCGCCACACAUGGCCCAGGGUGGAACUGGUGGGCUUCUGCCUCCGCCAUGAGCUGGCUUCUCCUUCUGGCUGCCAGGUCUACAGGAUGUCGGCCACAAGCGUAGGACUUGGUCGCCAGCUUAAAAUGUUUAAGGGGGACCAGAUGGUUCUCGCCAGUGCAGUACCGCUUAGGUCCACCAGAAAAGCUCAAUGAUGGCUCACUGUGCCCUCCACCUUCCUGGGCUCAUCCAGUCCAGAUGUAUAAUCUCAUCCCUGAACAUUUCUGAUGGUGUGAUUAUGACAUGUGACUUUAUCUGGCAACAGAGUGAGUUGUUGCUCCCGCCUGAGCCCAGCCCCCAGAAAGGAUUGUGACAUAUCGUUGGACCCAGAAUUGAGGUGCAGUUUUGACACACUUCUGUCUAGCAGCUGAGUAUUGUGAUCUUCAGAACUGGCCCAGCCUACAAAUAGGAUUGUGCCACACUGCUGGACCCAGCACCUAGAUGAUGUAACUAUUCUCCUGCCUUGGUGCUACUCAAAAAAGACAUUAACAUAUCUCAGAGCCUUGCACCCAGGU